rnacentral:tRNA from 1 species
UGGCUCAGAGGGUAAAGUGUCUGCCUGCAACGUGGGAGACCCAGGUUCGAAUCCUGG